CUGGAUAAGUUAGUAUAUCGCAUGAUAUGCAAAUGAAAGCUACGGCGACUAAAGGAGAGCUUUGCGUCCUAUUAGCUAGUUGGUAGGUAAGAGCUUACCAAGGCGAUGAUAGGUAGCCGGCCUGAGAGGGUGGACGGCCACAAGGGGACUGAGAUACGGCCCUUACUCCUACGGGAGGCAGCAGUGGGGAAUAUUGGACAAUGGGGGGAACUCUGAUCCAGCAAUUCUGUGUGUGUGAAGAAGGUUUUAGGACUGUAAAACACUUUUAGUAGGGAAGAAAAAAUGACGGUACCUACAGAAGAAGCAACGGCUAAAUACGUGCCAGCAGCCGCGGUAAU
rnacentral:rRNA from 1 species